UUAAGUCAGCGGGUAUCCCUACCUGAUCCGAGGUCAAGCGUAAAAAGGGUAGACUUUGUGGAUGCCACCGCCCCAAGGCGGAAGCGCAAAAUGUGCUGCGCUCCCACCCAGGACGGCUGGCUGCCAAUGCAUUUGAGGCGAGUUCGCGCGCGCAGCGGAACAAACGCCCAACACCCAGCAGGGCUGGAGGGUACAAAUGA
rnacentral:misc_RNA from 1 species